rnacentral:rRNA from 1 species
UACGUAGGGUGCGAGCGUUGUCCGGAAUUAUUGGGCGUAAAGGGCUCGUAGGCGGUUUGUCGCGUCGGGAGUGAAAUCCACUGGCUUAACUGGUGGCUUGCUUUCGAUACGGGCAGACUGGAGGUAUGCAGGGGUGAACGGAAUUCCUGGUGUAGCGGUGAAAUGCGCAGAUAUCAGGAGGAACACCGGUGGCGAAGGCGGUUCUCUGGGCAUGUCCUGACGCUGAGGAGCGAAAGUGUGGGGAGCGAAUAGG